CUGGGUUUGCAUAUUUCUACAUAUCUGUAAUUAUGUGUAUUGUGAGAUUAUUUAUUUUUAUUGGGUUACUAAAUUUGCAUAUUUCCACAUAUCUGUAAUUAAGUUGCAUUAUAAUUAGACUGUCCCUUUCUUGUUCCAUUUUCCUCUCUUACAAAACAGAAUUAACUUGUGUAUUGAGAGCGAUUCGCGCUAAGGAUUAUGGUCGUAGUAGUUGUUACAGAACUGUAUUCGCAUUGAGUGAAUUAUAAGUUCGGUCGGCCCGAACGACAUUCAAAAAAAAUUUUGUAUUUGCAGAAGAGGGGUAUCGAAUGAAACGUCGAUAUGUCACUACC